rnacentral:rRNA from 1 species
UACGUAGGGGGCAAGCGUUGUCCGGAAUUACUGGGCGUAAAGAGCGCGUAGGCGGUCUGAUAAGUCGGUUGUGAAAGUCGGGGGCUCAACCCUCGGAUGCCGAUCGAUACUGUCAGGCUAGAGUCCGGAAGAGGCGAGUGGAAUUCCUGGUGUAGCGGUGAAAUGCGCAGAUAUCAGGAAGAACACCGAUGGCGAAGGCAGCUCGCUGGGACGGUACUGACGCUGAGACGCGAAAGCGUGGGGAGCAAACAGG